GAUGAACGCUGGCGGCGUGCCUAAUACAUGCAAGUCGAGCGAACGGACGAGAAGCUUGCUUCUCUGAUGUUAGCGGCGGACGGGUGAGUAACACGUGGAUAACCUACCUAUAAGACUGGGAUAACUUCGGGAAACCGGAGCUAAUACCGGAUAAUAUUUUGAACCGCAUGGUUCAAAAGUGAAAGACGGUCUUGCUGUCACUUAUAGAUGGAUCCGCGCUGCAUUAGCUAGUUGGUAAGGUAACGGCUUACCAAGGCAACGAUGCAUAGCCGACCUGAGAGGGUGAUCGGCCACACUGGAACUGAGGCACGGUCCAGACUCCUGCGGGAGGCAGCAGUAGGGAAUCUUCCGCAAUGGGCGAAAGCCUGACGGAGCAACGCCGCGUGAGUGAUGAAGGUCUUCGGAUCGUAAACUCUGUUAUUAGGGAAGAACAUAUGUGUAAGUAACUGUGCACAUCUUGACGGUACCUAAUCAGAAAGCCACGGCUAACUACGUG
rnacentral:rRNA from 1 species